UAACAAACCCGGGUUUUUUAAAAAAUGUUUUAAGUAUUUACCUACAAUUUGAUGUUGUUAUUCGAGUAAUAUUGUAAUCCUCAAUAUUUUUACUUUAUUUGUCAAAAAGAGAUCGUUACAGACUAACAAAGUAAAGUAAAUGCAGUUCAAUAUUGUGCGUUUCUGCUGUCCAGACACAGUUCUGAAAGUUAUAUGCCCUACAUGAAAGGAAUAUGCCCUACUUUAUACCUGUACAUGGAUCACACAGCAAAUUUACUGUCACACCAAUGUGUUUCGCUGACCACUAAUUUUGUAGGGCUGUCACAGUGUUUGCAAUGAAUAAAGGUUGAAUGUGACCUGAAUCAAAGCUAGCAAUGGAGAAAUUUUACUGUGUAUUUUCUACUUGGAUUUCAGGUUUUCUGUGUAAGGGCUAAUUUUUUAGGUUGGGUAGUUCCUGGACAAGUGUGAGCCUCAAGUUGGGAGUUACAGGAGAGAGGGUGGUUCCUUGACUAGGGCAAGCCCUCAUGGGGGACUCACAGGAGACCUCUGAAUGACAGAAUCCUGGUUACUUCUUUCCAAAGUCUGAAAACAUAUUCACACUUAGUGGAAUGAAUUAGUGGAUGUGGAACUGUUGUAUAUUUCUUUGAAACAAUGUCUAAAGGCUGUUCAUGUUAUAACAUGUAGGGUACAACAUAGUCCUGUUUAGGUAAUGGAACAAUACCAUGUGAAGCAAUGACACUUUGUUACAAAAUGUAUCAAUAAUGAUGAAAUAGUACUGUUCAGGGGCAUGUGGUAACAGAGGGAUGUAAUAUAGGGAUUAGUUGGAGGUGAUAUUGUACUGUAUCAGAUACCAACAGGGUGUAAUAUAAGGAAUUAACCAUACCCUAAUAAUACUGUAUAUGUGUUGUGUAAUACAAUAACCUUCAAUUUCUGCUAAAAUGGUAACCAAAGUUUAUGCUGAUCAGCUUGUAAAAACCCUAACUAUUAGUACAUCAUCUUCAACUCAAACUGUGUAUUCAGAAGGGAAAUAUCACAAAUACACCAGUAAGCAUGUGUGUAUUCAAUAGGCCUUUGAUGGUAUGUUAUUGCUCAUUAAGUUGACUAUGAUAUACAGCCCUGCUAAUUUAGCCACUUGUGUGAGCAUCAGAUCUAGAUUGAUUGUGGGUUUGUUUGGGUCAAUACAAUAACACUAAAAUCUCAAAAUGCUAGAAAAGUCAAUGUUUUGGCUUGCAGAACCAAAGGUUGUGACAGACUGAUGGUAUUAACCAAGAUCAGGCUCUAGCUCUAGGUCUUGAUCCAGUAAAUAAGAUUUCAUUUUUUAAACUUGAAAAAUGGUAAUUUGCAGUAUGUCAUUUCAAAUGAUAGUGGUAAUUAUCUACAAUCAUCUAUACUCUUUGAUGAAGAGCCAUGUGUUUACUAAAGGGUAUAUGGUAUAUGACCAAAUAAGUACAGGAAUAGGCAUAGUGGAGACGUUCUAGAAAAGUUGAAAAAUGAGGUUUAGGGUGUCAGGAAAACAAACCUGUUUUUUGUGGGAGGUAGGUGCUGAGUCAGCAGUCCUUGUUCAGGGUGAGAAGUGCAGGAUAUCCAAGACGGAACCUUGUACACCAUGAAGGAAACAAACAUCAAUUAGAAUGGUUAUUUUGAUGGGCAGAAACUUUUUCAAUCCAGACAUUGAUUGUCUCUAAGUAUUUGUUGUAUGUUGGGGUGCAUUGAUGCCUCUUUGUUACGGAGUUUGUGAGAGUGGAGCUAAGGUUCAUGUUGUACAAAACUCACAUGUUGUAGAAAGACGUUCCCUUUGUUAUAUAAUUAUUACCAUUUUACAUCAGUUUUAGUUCUAAUCAAAACUUGUACAGUGAAAUGUACUUCUGUCAUGUAGAAGUCGUCUACAACCAAUGUUGAUGGUGGCAUAUGUUGGUCGCCGAGAGCAGCGAAUGAGUGAUUAGCCUGUCUUUUACUCCUGAAUAAAUGCAUUUAUGCUGUA
rnacentral:lncRNA from 1 species